rnacentral:rRNA from 1 species
UACGUAGGUGGCGAGCGUUGUCCGGAUUUACUGGGCGUAAAGAGCGCGUAGGCGGUCGUUCAAGUCGCGUGUGAAAGCCCCCGGCUCAACUGGGGAGGGUCACGCGAUACUGAUCGACUCGAAGGCAGGAGAGGGUAGUGGAAUUCCAGGUGUAGCGGUGAAAUGCGUAGAUAUCUGGAGGAACACCGGUGGCGAAGGCGGCAUCCUGGACCGGUAUUGACGCUGAGGCGCGAAAGCCAGGGGAGCAAACGGG